UACGGAGGGUGCAAGCGUUGUCCGGAUUUAUUGGGUUUAAAGGGUGCGUAGGCGGUCCUAUAAGUCAGUUGUGAAAUACGGCAGCUUAACUGUCGAGGUGCAAUUGAUACUGCAGGACUUGAGUACAGACGAGGUAGGCGGAAUUGACGGUGUAGCGGUGAAAUGCUUAGAUAUCGUCAAGAACACCGAUAGCGAAGGCAGCUUACUAGACUGUAACUGACGCUGAGGCACGAAAGUGUGGGGAUCAAACAGG
rnacentral:rRNA from 1 species